rnacentral:lncRNA from 1 species
AUGGAGAAACAGUCGGAGAAGAAGAACAUUUGCUCACUGGACGACUUUAUUCAAGAUCAAGGACUGCUCGACUGGCCGGUGAUGUGUGAGGAGAAUCUGGACCAGUCUUCCUCUCAUCUCUACCAGAACUCUGCAGAAAUCCAUCAGGAUCUCAAAGACAGAGUCCCGUUUCCCUGCGACGCUGCUGAAUCCUUGAGGAAACACCUGCAGACGCUUGGGAGGAGAGUGAAGCUCCACAACUCCAUCUUUACCCAGACGCUUGAUUAAUGAUCCGCAGAUGAUGCUAGUCCUGAAUCAACAAACAGAACUAACUAAUAUUGCUACAAGUGUGAUUGAAUGAUAUAAUAAUUGCUGUUAAUAAUGUUCAUCGUCUGGCUGACUAUGUCCUGUAUUAAUUUUUCUGUCACACAUCAAGCUACUACUAAAUAUUGUAGAAACGUAAUUUUCUGUAAAGUUGUUUUGUAAUGAUUUGUAUCGUAAAAGCGCUAUACAAAUAAACUUAAAAUGAAUUGAAUUGAAUUUUUGCAUUACAGCAAUAAUAAUUUUUGGGUUAAAUUCUGUGUGUUUAAUUAUCAUGACAGUCACGUCAUAAUGCAGUGAUCCUAAAAUAGGUUUUUUGUUGUUUAGUGUGUUUUUGAUCUUGAAAUGUGAAUGAUUCGUCUGUAUGUGUUCCGUCUCUUUCAGACUUAUUCCAUCUCGAUUGAAGGCUUUGAUAAACUCAGUCGACGUGUCCUCGGGUCACUGCCAGAAUCGCCCGCGCUUUUGAUUUUAUUUGGGCAGAUAUUCUGAACUCAUGCUUUGUGCCGAAGGCUGUCAACAACACCAACAAACAAACACCAGAUGAGCUGAGGGAAACACGCUGUUAUAAGAGUUAAAACGGAAGACAUUUUCAUGAAAUGACAAGUGAUUCUGUCAAAAGAUUCACAGUCUCAGAUGAAACACACACAUCUCCUCACACAGAUGGAUCCUUUUAUCUGAGAGAUGAAUUAUGUGCUUUUCAGUGUGAGGCCUGUCAGCCCAGAGUCUGUUUACAUUCACAACAUGUUGCACAUUAUCUGCUAAAACCAACUUUGCGUGACUUGGCAGAAGAACUCACCUACACUAACUGUGUUUGGGUCAGAGGAGUGUGUGUGUGUGUGUGUGUGAGUCUGUCUGUGUAAGUGAGAGAGAGAGAGAGAGAGAGAGAGAGAGAGAGAGAGAGUGUGUGUGUGUGUGUAAGAGAGAGAGAGAGAGAGAGUGUGUGUGUGUGUGUGUAAGUGUGUGUGAGUGUGUGUGUGUGUGUGUGUGUGUGAGAGAGAGAGAGAGAGAGAGAGAGAGAGAGUGUGUGUGUGUGUAAGAGAGAGGUAGAGUGUGUGUGUGUGUGUGUGUGUGUGAGUGUAAGAGAGAGAGAGAGAGAGAGUGUGUGUGUGUGUGUAAGAGAGAGAGAGAGAGAGUGUGUGUGUGUGAGUGUAAGAGAGAGAGAGUGUGUGUGUGUGUAAGUGUAAGAGAGAGUGGGUGUGUGUGUGUGUGAGUGUGUAAGAGAGAGAUAGAGAGAGUGUGUCUGUGAGUGUAAGAGAGAGAGAGUGUGUGUGUGUGUGUGUGUGUGAGAGAGUGUGUAAGAGAGAGAUAGAGUGUGUGUGUGUGUGAGUGUGUAAGAGAGAGAUAGUGUGUGUGUGUGUGUGUGUGUGUGUGAGUGAGAGAGAUAGUGUGUGUGUGUGUGUG